rnacentral:lncRNA from 1 species
GAGAUAAAAAUCAGGAGUGGUUGUGUGCGGUGGCUCACACCAGUAAUCCCAGUGCUUGGGAGACUGCUUGAGCCCGGGAGAUGAGUUACAAUGAACUAUGAUGGUACCACUGCACUCCAGCCUGGGCGACAGAGACGGACUUUGUCUAAAAACAAAAAUAGAAAAAGUCAGGAGACUAGGACAAAUGUACAGCUAUGUGUCUUCACAGCAUUAUAGUUAGACGGAAUCUCGCUGCGACGCCCAGGCUAGAGUGCAAUGGUGCGAUCUCAGCUUACUGCAAUCUCUGCCUCCCGGGUUCAAGCGAUUCUCUUGCCUCAGCCUUCCAAGUAGCUGGGACUACAGGCGUGCACCACCAAGACUGGGAGUGGAAGAGGAAAAUCCAGACUGUGAAAGUACAAUUAAAGCCUCUGGUUGUAUCACAUCUAGUAUUAUACUCGGGGCACAGCAAAUCGCCUGGCCAAGUUUUCAGCCAAAAGAUGAGAAAAUACACUCUUCCUACUGAGAAUCCACAGCAAGGAUGGAGAAUCUCCCCUUGGUGCAGAAUUGUUGUGAACCAAAACUUUGUGAAGAAUUUUGGGAUAGUUGUAAUUAACAGAACUGAGUUUGAUCACUAA